ACCUGGGUGGCUGAGUCGGUUAAGCGUCCGACUUCGACUCAGAUCAUGAUCUCACAGUUUGUGGGUUCAAGCCCCACGUUGGGCU
rnacentral:tRNA from 1 species